GCCAGACUCCUACGGGAGGCAGCAGUGAGGAAUAUUGGUCAAUGGCCGGAAGGCUGAACCAGCCAAGCCGCGUGAGGGAGGAAGGCGCAGAGCGUCGCAGACCUCUUUUGCCGGGGGACAAAAGGCCGGACUCGUCCGGUCCUGAGGGUACCCGGAGAAAAAGCAUCGGCUAACUCCGUGCCAGCAGCCGCGGUAAUACGGAGGAUGCGAGCGUUAUCCGGAUUUAUUGGGUUUAAAGGGUGCGCAGGCGGAGGUGCAAGUCAGCGGUCAAAUUGCGGGGCUCAACCCCGUACUGCCGUUGAAACUGGCAGACUUGAGUUGGCGAGAAGUACGCGGAAUGCGCGGUGUAGCGGUGAAAUGCAUAGAUAUCGCGCAGAACUCCGAUUGCGAAGGCAGCAUACCGGCGCCCAACUGACGCUGAAGCACGAAAGCGUGGGUAUCGAACAGGAUUAGAUACCCCCGUAC
rnacentral:rRNA from 1 species